rnacentral:rRNA from 1 species
AACGAACGCUGGCGGCAGGCCUAACACAUGCAAGUCGAGCGAACCCUUCGGGGUUAGCGGCGGACGGGUUAGUAACGCGUGGGAAUAUACCCUUUGGUACGGAAUAGCCUCGGGAAACUGAGAGUAAUACCGUAUGUGCCCUUCGGGGAAGAUUAUCGCCAAAGGAUUAGCCCGCGUUGGAUUAGAUAGUUGGUGGGGUAAGUGGCCUACCAAGUCUACGAUCCAUAGCUGGUUUGAGAGGAUGAUCAGCAACACUGGGACUGAGACACGGCCCAGACUCCUACGGGAGGCAGCAGUGGGGAAUCUUAGACAAUGGGCGCAAGCCUGAUCUAGCCAUGCCGCGUGGACGAUGAAGGCCUUAGGGUUGUAAAGUCCUUUCAGAUGGGAAGAUAAUGACGGUACCAUCAGAAGAAGCCCCGGCUAACUCCGUG